UUUAUGAUCAUUGACCUUAACCUUUUGUAAAGAACCGUUAAUUAGUUGUCCUGAUGAAUUCAUGCGUCUUAUUGAUUGUUCUCGCAAACAGCUUAAACUUUAAUUAAAUAUUGGAAGUGCAGCCUUUUGUUUGCAGUAUGCAAUGGUUACCUCCCUUACUUCAGUUUGGAAAAUGUCCCAAGUAACUCUAGGAUCAUUAUUUUUGGUUAAACCUGUUGUUUGGCAGAGAUAUUGCAUUGUGCAUUUGCACUAAUUUACUUUUUGGAGUUUCAUGAUACAUAAAUAGGAGCAAUUUUAAUUUUGUUUUGUGACGACUGUGAUUUUGGAUGUGAAGUAGAAGCAUAAUGCCAUGAAUGAUAUGACAACUUAACCAUGUUAAUUGGUUUUUCCUAUUUUGUGUGCUCAACCAUUUUAGUGCGUUUUUGAAUAUCCAGUGAAAACUGACGAAGAAUUGCACAAGAAGAUGGAAUAUUCGUGCAAUGUUUGACCUAAAUUUGUUGGGAUUUAAUAGACAUGAUAGCCUUGGAUUCAUUACAUUAUUUAAUUUGUGGUAGUGAGAAAAUGUGUUGCUAGAAUUUUUCUGCUCUAAUCGGAAUAUCUUUGCAUAUGAAACUACUGAUGUGUCAUAACUUUAUGUUGACAUAAACUUUAUGUUGAAGUUUUCAUUUACAAAACAUUUGAUAGAUGUGUUCCAAUUUUUAAGAUAACUCCUAGCUAGUAGUUUGGGAUUUUGUUUUUCAUAAAGUGAAUCGUGAGGUUUUAAAAAAGUAAUACCAUUGAUUAUCAAGAAUAAAUGACAUGUAUAUCUAUAAUUGUGUUUAACUCUUUCAUUGGAAUAUGUAUAAUCUACUAUUAUACCAUAUCCGUUUUUUUGUUUAUU